UUAAAGUUUUUUAGCUUUUAUAUUAAAUUAUGUUUAAUAUAUAUAUAAAUUAUUAAAAAUUUUAGAUAAAUUAAAAAUUUAUUUUUAAAGUUAUAAUAUAUAAAUUUAAAAAUUAAAGAAAUUUAGAUUUAGUAAAUUUAAAAAAAUUAAUAAAAUUUGUGCCAGCAAUUGCGGUUAUACAAAUAAUUUGUUAAUAUAUUUAUUUAUUUUAAUUAAUAGGUUAUAAAUAUAAUUAAAAUAAUUUUAAUAAGGUAAAAUUUUUUUAAAAAAAAAUUAUAGUAUAUAUCAUAGAUUAUAAUAUAUGAAGUUAAUAAAAUAAUAAAAAACUAGGAUUAGAUACCCUAUUAUUAUAUGUAAAUAAUAAUUAUAAUAGGUAGUAAAAAUUAUUUAUUUAAAACUUAAAAAAGUUGGCAGUAUUUAAAUCUAUUUAGAGGAAUUUGUUUAGUAAUUGAUAAUCCACGAAUAAUUUUAUUUAAUUUAUUUAAUUUGUAUAUCGUUGUUAUAAAAAUUUAUUAAAAAAUUUAAAAUUUAAAAUUUUUAAUUGAAAAUUAUAUCAAAUCAUGAUGCAGUUUAUAAUUAAAUUUUAAUGAAUUAUAAUAAAUAAAUUUUUGAAUUAUAAUUUGUAAUUUUAUAUGAAAUUAGAUUUAAAAGUAAUUUUUUUUAGUUUAUAAAAAUGAUUAAGUUUUUAAAUAUGUACAUAUUGCCCGUCACUUUCAUUAUAAUUGAAAUAAGUCGUAACAAAGUAGAAUUACUGGAAAGUGUUUCUAGAAUUAA
rnacentral:ncRNA from 1 species